rnacentral:rRNA from 1 species
UACGAAGGGUGCAAGCGUUACUCGGAAUUACUGGGCGUAAAGGGUUCGUAGGCGGUGCGGCAAGUUGGAAGUGAAAUCUCUGGGCUUAACCCAGAGGCUGCUUUCAAAACUGCCGUGCUCGAGUGCGAGAGAGGCCAGUGGAAUUGCAGGUGUAGCGGUGAAAUGCGUAGAUAUCUGCAGGAACACCCGUGGCGAAGGCGGCUGGCUGGAUCGCAACUGACGCUGAAGAACGAAAGCUAGGGGAGCAAACAGG